rnacentral:tRNA from 1 species
AGGCAUUUGGUCUAGUGGUAUGAUUCUCACUUUGUGUGCGAGAGGUCUUUAGUUUGAUUCUUGAAAUGCCCC